UAGGGAAUCUUCGGCAAUGGGGGGAACCCUGACCGAGCAACGCCGCGUGAGUGAAGAAGGUUUUCGGAUCGUAAAGCUCUGUUGUUAAGGAAGAACGAGUGUGAGAAUGGAAAGUUCAUGCUGUGACGGUACUUAACCAGAAAGGGACGGCUAACUACGUGCCAGCAGCCGCGGUAAUACGUAGGUCCCGAGCGUUGUCCGGAUUUAUUGGGCGUAAAGCGAGCGCAGGCGGUUAGAAAAGUCUGAAGUGAAAGGCAGUGGCUCAACCAUUGUAGGCUUUGGAAACUGUUUAACUUGAGAGCAGAAGGGGAGAGUGGAAUUCCAUGUGUAGCGGUGAAAUGCGUAGAUAUAUGGAGGAACACCGGUGGCGAAAGCGGCUCUCUGGUCUGUAACUGACGCUGAGGCUCGAAAGCGUGGGGAGCGAACAGG
rnacentral:rRNA from 1 species